GACGAACGCUGGCGGCGUGCUUAACACAUGCAAGUCGAACGCAGUGGCGAACGGGUGAGUAACGCGUAAUCAACCUGCCCUUCAGAGGGGGACAACAGUUGGAAACGACUGCUAAUACCGCAUACUGAAGGAGGGGAUUGCGUCUGAUUAGCUAGUUGGAGGGGUAACGGCCCACCAAGGCGAAGAUCAGUAGCCGGUCUGGGAGGAUGGACGGGCAAAAUGGGACUGGGAAACGGCCCAGGCGCCUACGGGGGGCAGCAAGGGGGAAUCUUCCGGAAUGGACGGAAGUCUGGCGGGGCAACGCCGCGUGGGUGAUGACGGCCUUCGGGUUGUAAAGCUCUGUUAAUCGGGACGCGGUACCGAAAUAGAAAGCCACGGCUAACUACGUGCCAGCAGCCGCGGUAAUAC
rnacentral:rRNA from 1 species